rnacentral:rRNA from 1 species
UACAGAGGGGGCCAGCGUUAUUCGGAAUCACUGGGCGUAAAGGGCGCGUAGGCGGGGAGGUAAGUCGGGUGUGAAAUCCCUCGGCCCAACUGAGGAACUGCGCCCGAGACUGCUUCUCUUGAGUCCCGGAGAGGAAGAUGGAAUUCCCGGUGUAGCGGUGAAAUGUGUAGAGAUCGGGAGGAACACCGGUGGCGAAGGCGGUCUUCUGGACGGUGACUGACGCUGAGGCGCGAAAGCGUGGGGAGCAAACGGG